rnacentral:rRNA from 1 species
UACGUAGGGGGGCAAGCGUUGACCGGAAUCAUUGGGCGUAAAGAGCGUGUAGGCGCCCCGAUAAGUCCGCCCGUGAAAAGUCCAGGGCUCAACCCCUGGAAUGCCGGUGGAAACUGUCGGGCUGGAGUCCGGAAGAGGCGAGUGGAAUUCCCUGGUGUAGCGGUGAAAUGCGCAGAUAUCAGGAGGAACACCAAUGGCGAAGGCAGCUCGCUGGGACGGUACUGACGCUGAGGCGCGAAAGCGUGGGGAGCAAACAGG